UUCAUCUAUCAUGAAUCACUUGUACAUCCACUCCUUCGCCACCCAAACAUGCAAAAGGACCCCCCAAGACAUAAAUGUCAUAUUGGGACCUUCUAAAUCAUCCAUUCAUCAAAACUUCCCAUAGAAUGCUGCCCACAUUGAAGAAUUUUCAGGGAGAUUCGAAAGUGGUUCCUAUGGCCAACCACUCUUGCCAAUACCAUCACCAAUUUCUCAGCAAUGGUUAUCCUAGGUCUUCGUGGUUGUAUGAUAAAAAAAUUUGUAUUAUAAA